rnacentral:lncRNA from 1 species
GCCUGUGACUAUGCCUACUUAUUUAGCGGUGUGUGCACCGAGUUUUACAAUGAAUUUAAAACAAUCGACAACGUUAAAAUAAGGAACGACGUGCCGGUCAUAGAUUAUCUUGAAUCAACCCUUGACGGUUGCAGGAGUAAGUGUCUUGACAAUAUUGAUUGUCAUUUAUUUACUUUCUCGGAAAGAGAUGAAUGUACAACAUAUGGUCCACCUAAUCCAGUGGACAUCUUGGACCAUCUCGACGGAGAUACAGAUUUUCAGCUGCGUAUUAGAAAGUGUAAAAAGUGCUUUUGAAUACUUGGGAGCGAAGCGAUAGAUUUUAAAGUCCGUUAAAUUGAAAUGAUGAGACAGACGUACAAUAACAUAAGAACACAUACAGACUUCCCUAAUAGAGACAAAUAAUGAACUCAGUUGUGAAUGCUUUUGUCGUAAGUGUACUUAGAUCUCUUUUGUUGUUAAUGAACCAGUGUUUCAGAUAAUUAAUCAGAAUGUUUUAACUUUUACACUGGGCUAUAAAACCAAACGUACAUGGGGCGUGUUUGUUUUAUUUCCGGAAUAUUUUGUUUUAUUUAGUUUCACUUAAAUAUGAAUGUAAGUGACAUAUAACAAUAUUUGAAGUUUGUUAAUAUCAAAUCCCUCCAAUGAAAAUUAUUCUAACAAAUCUGUUUCGAAAUGUAUUUCAAUAGCAAACUUCAGGGAUAGUUUAAUAAAUUCAUAACCUCCGGCAAA